rnacentral:rRNA from 1 species
UACGAAGGGGGCUAGCGUUGUUCGGAAUUAUUGGGCGUAAAGCGCACGUAGGCGGCUACUUAAGUCAGGGGUGAAAUCCCGGGGCUCAACCCCGGAACUGCCUUUGAUACUGGGUAUCUCGAGUCCGGAAGAGGUGAGUGGAAUUCCGAGUGUAGAGGUGAAAUUCGUAGAUAUUCGGAGGAACACCAGUGGCGAAGGCGGCUCGCUGGUCCGGUACUGACGCUGAGGUGCGAAAGCGUGGGGAGCAAACAGG